UCUAUGGCUUGUGUCAGUUGCUAUGUUUGAUUUCAUUUAUUUAAAAGAAAAUAUAAAAACCCAUGAAAUAUGAAUUGGAGAAGAACGCAGACAAAAUAGAAAACUGUCACUCUGGUCAAUGGCGAUACAAUUGUGCCUUUCCUGUGCUCCAUUUGCUGUUCUUUUAUAGAAUUUGAAAGAUACUACAUUUAAUAUGGUAGGAUUUCACCAUUUAUGUUUCAGAGUAAUUGUUGUGCUUUAGAAUCUAAAAUAUUCAGGAGUUUUUGUUUUCAAACUCACUGAAAAACUUAUCAAUGAUCACAGUGUCUUAGUAUUCUAAGUUGUUAAUGUGUGAUAAUUGUUAUUUAUAUGACAUGUACAGUAUGCAAAAAUAAUCAGAAAGAAAUGUUAAUCUUUUUUUGAAA